UACGUAGGGACCAAGCGUUGUUCGGAAUUACUGGGCGUAAAGCGCGUGUAGGCGGCUCGGCAAGUCGGGUGUGAAAGCCCUGGGCUUAACCUAGGAAGUGCACUCGAAACUGCCAAGCUUGAGUUCUGGAGAGGAAGGCGGAAUUCUCGGUGUAGAGGUGAAAUUCGUAGAUAUCGAGAGGAACACCGGUGGCGAAGGCGGCCUUCUGGACAGCAACUGACGCUGAGACGCGAAAGCGUGGGGAGCAAACAGG
rnacentral:rRNA from 1 species